CAAUAGCGUAUAUUAAAGUUGUUGCGGUUAAAAAGCUCGUAGUUGGAUUUCUGCCGAGGACGACCGGUCCGCCCUCUGGGUGAGUAUCUGGUUCGGCCUGGGCAUCUUCUUGGAGAACGUAUCUGCACUUGACUGUGUGGUGCGGUAUCCAGGACUUUUACUUUUGAGGAAAUUAGAGUGUUUCAAGCAGGCACACGCCUUGAAUACAUUAGCAUGGAAUAAUGAUAUAGGCAUGUGUGUCUAUUUUGUUGGUUUCUAGACGCACGUGAAUGAUUAAUAGGGACUGUUGGGGGCAUUCGUAUUAUGACGUCAGAGGUGGAAUUCUUGGAUUGUCAUACGACGAACUACUGCGAAAGCAUUUGCCAAGGAUGUUUUUCAUUGAUCAAGAACGAAAGUAAGGGGAUCGAAGACGAUUAGAUACCA
rnacentral:rRNA from 1 species